rnacentral:tRNA from 1 species
GCCGGGGUGGCUGAGCGGUUAAGGCGGCCGGCUGCAGACCGGCUCUAUACCGGUUCAAAUCCGGUCCCCGGCUCCA